rnacentral:lncRNA from 1 species
UAUUCCAUCCUUGCCAAUUCCCCCUAUCAAAUUCCCCCUAUCAAACUCUUCCUUCCUUCCUUCCUUCCUUCCUUCCUUCCUUCCUUCCUUCCUUCCUUCCUUCCUUUCUUUCUUCCUUCCUUCCUUCCUUCCUUCCUUCCUUCCUUCCUUCCUUCCUUCCUUCCUUCCUUCCUUCCUUCCUUCCUUCCUUCCUUCCUUCCUUCCUUCCUUCCUUUCUUUCUUUCUUUCUUUCUUUCUUUCUUUCUUUCUUUCUUUCUUUCUUUCUUUCUUUCUUUCUUUCUUUCUUUCUUUCUUUCUUUCUUUCUUUCUUUCUUUCUUUCUUUCUUUCUUUCUUUCUUUCUUUCUUUCUUUCUUUCUUUUCUUUUCUUUUCUUUUCUUUUCUUUUCUUUCUUUCUUCCUUUCUUCCUUUCUUCCUUCCUUUCUUCCUUUCUUCCUUUCUUUCUUUCUUUCUUUCUUUCUUUCUUUCUUCCUUCCUUCCUUCCUUCCUUCCUUCCUUCCUUUCUUUCUUUCUUUCUUUCUUUCUUUCUUUCUUUCUUUCUUUCUUUCUUUCUUUCUUUCUUUCUUUCUUUCUUUCUUUCUUUCUUUCUUUCUUUCUUUCUUUCUUUCUUUCUUUCUUUCUUUCUUUCUUUCUUUCUUUCUUUCUUUCUUUCUUUCUUUCUUUCUUUCUUUCUUUCUUUCUAUCUUUCUUUCUUUCUUUCUUUCUUUCUUUCUUUCUUCCUUUCCUUCUUCCUUUCUUCCUUCCUUCCUUUCA